GACGAACGCUGGCGGCGUGCCUAACACAUGCAAGUCGAGCGAAGCGGCGGAUGGGUUAGUAACGCGUGGGUAACCUGCUCUUAAGUCUGGGCCACCAUUUGGAAACAGAUUCUAAUACCGGAUACUAAAGGAUGGACCUGCGGGGCAUUAGCUAGCUGGUAAGGUAACGGAUUACCAGGGCGAGGAUGCGUAGCCGGGUUGAGAGGCUGAUCGGCCACAUGGGAACUGAGACACGGCCCAAACUCCUACGGGAGGAAGCAGUGGGGAAUCUUCGAAAAUGGAAGAAAGUCUGAUGGAGCAACGCCGCGUGGGUGAAGAAGGUUUGCGGAUCGUAAAGCUCUGUUGUUGGUGAGGCGGUAGUCAAACAAGAAGUCACGGCUAACUACGUGCCAGCAGCCGCGGUAAUAC
rnacentral:rRNA from 1 species